rnacentral:tRNA from 1 species
GCCGUGAUCGUAUAGUGGUUAAUACAUUGCGUUGUGGCCGCAAUAACACAGGUUCGAAUCCUGGUCACGGCA